rnacentral:rRNA from 1 species
GACGAACGCUGGCGGCGUGCUUAACACAUGCAAGUCGAACGGAAAGGCCCUGCUUUUGUGGGGUGCUCGAGUGGCGAACGGGUGAGUAACACGUGAGUAACCUGCCCUUGACUUUGGGAUAACUUCAGGAAACUGGGGCUAAUACCGGAUAGGAGCUCCUGCUGCAUGGUGGGGGUUGGAAAGUUUCGGCGGUUGGGGAUGGACUCGCGGCUUAUCAGCUUGUUGGUGGGGUAGUGGCUUACCAAGGCUUUGACGGGUAGCCGGCCUGAGAGGGUGACCGGCCACAUUGGUACUGAGAGACGGACCAGACUCCUACGGGAGGCAGCAGUGGGGAAUAUUGCGCAAUGGGCGGAAGCCUGAUGCAGCAACGCCGCGUGCGGAAAGACGUGCUUCGGGUGGUAAACCGCUUUCGCCUGUGACGAAGCGUGAGUGACGGUAAUGGGUAAAGAAGCACCGGCUAACUACGUG